GCUCAGUGCUCCCAGCUCGCAGGUUCUGCUCUGCUUGCUUCUAGUAUUCCCUCUGCCCUCCGGGGUUUCCACUCAGCACGAGAAGCUGCUGAGUCCCUCUAAAGGCUCUGAAGGCAGUUAAAAAGGGAGGUGGUUUGCGUCAGGAUUGGAAUCUUCUGGACAAGGGAACUGAGAUGAGGCUUUUAGGGAGUUGCCGUCAGCCGUGAAUACAUCCGGACGUGAGGUGAGGCGGUGCAAACAUUUUAUCCAGUAACUCCCGACAGUAGGGGAAAGAGCUCAGUUUAUUCUGAUUCCUGCAGAGGCCGCCAUGACAUGAGCAGCAUUCCUUCACCAUACCUGUAAGCUGUGAAGUUUAUGCCUUGGACACAACCAACCUGAGGAUGAAAACUCUGAAACCAUGAGCCUCAAGCCUUUCAUUCUUUAUGUUGUCUAUGCCAAGUAUUUUGUUGCAACAACAGAAAGGUGACUAAUGUAUGCAACAUUAUAUUGUACUGCAGCCUUCCAAACUUGGCAGCUGUGGCUAGUAGAAACAGCCUUUGUAACCUUUGUUCUUUUGUGUGUGUGUAGCUCCCUAAUACUCUCUCUUUAAAAGAAAUACAAAACAAAGUAUGGGUAUGAUAACAUUUCAUCUCUUGUCUUUUUCCAAGUAUUUUAUUAAUUGCCUGUUAUCAACUAGUUUACCAAUGAGGUGGGACAAAACCAUGACCAACCAAUAAGAUUACAAGUACAGUCACCCAGGUAGUAUUGAUUAAUUGGGGAUCCAAGUACAGUCACCCAGUUAAUGUUGGUUAAAUGGAGAUCCAAUGGGAAGACAAGUGACAUACAAGGAAUUUCCCAUUUAGAGUAUCAAUCACUGCUAUCUAUCUCCAGGGGAAGUAGUACCUCUUUCCCUUUUAUAAUGCUAACCAAUGAAUGUGCCUCAAUUGUUCACCCUGUUGGCUCCUUCCUGUGUUGGCUUCUUGAGAGCAGCCCUGUCUAACUGCCUACAAGAUAUCUAAUUAACUUACCCAUCUACAAUACCAUGAUCCAAUCACUCCCUAAAAGCCCC
ensembl:lncRNA